rnacentral:rRNA from 1 species
UACGAAGGGGCUAGGCGUUGUUCGGAAUUACUGGGCGUAAAGGGCGCGUAGGCGGUCCUGAUCGUCGGAUGUGAAAGGCCUGGGCUCAACCUGGGAAUGGCAUCCGAUACGGCGGGACUGGAGUGUGGGAGAGGUUGGUGGAAUUCCCAGUGUAGAGGUGAAAUUCGUAGAUAUUGGGAAGAACACCGGUGGCGAAGGCGGCUAUCUGGACAGAGUCUGACGCUGAGGCGCGAAAGCUAGGGGAGCAAACAGGG